rnacentral:tRNA from 1 species
AGUAGUGUAGCUCAGUGGUAGAGUGCUUGCCUAGUGUGCAAAAAACCCUGGGUUCCAUCCCCAAUACUG